GUCAGGAGCUGUGGUACAUGCCUAUAGUCCCAGCCGCUCGUGAGGCUGAGGUGGAAGGAUCACUUGAGCCCAGGAGUUCUGGGCUGUAGUGCGCUAUGCCGAUCGGGUGUCCACACUAAGUUCGGCAUCAAUAUGGUGACCUCCCAGGAGUGUGGAACCAGUAGGUUGCCUAGAGAGGAGCAAACCGCCCCAGGUCGGAAAUGGAGCAGGUCAAAACUUUCAUGCUGAUCAGUAGUGGGAUCGCACCUGUGAAUAGCCACUGCACUCCAGCCUCGGCAACAUUGUGAGGCCCCGUCUUUU
ensembl:misc_RNA Metazoa_SRP Metazoan signal recognition particle RNA